GAAAAACUGUUUCUUAGAAUUUAAAUACCAGCAAGAGGAUGCUGAGCUUCGUUCUCGGGUUUCAGAGGAACUGCAACUAGCCAAAUUAUGAGAGUCACCAGAAUGUGUUGUCCCUCUGCCAUUCUACAACCUUGCAGGUAAAGCUGUGCACUGGAGGAGAAAUCAGUGAUGUGGAGUCCAGCUGUAACGUCCUUUCUAUCUAUCCAAACACCAGUCCUGGAACAGAGGCAGUCACAAAUAGCAUGCAGAUGGGGACUUGCCCAAGAGCACUGCAGGCUACAUAUCUGCUGGACUCCAAUACAUUGUGAUAUGUACCUAGCACCCAGAAUAGCACAUCAGAACCCAAUGCCCUACUGAGGAAAUGGGCGGGGGGGGAGCUGCCUCCCUGUGUAUUUGUUUUUAUACAUCCCAGCAUGUUGCAGGCUUUUAGACUGCUGAGGAAGCAAAUGAAAAUUAAUGGAGCAUCUGAAGGGGGAACAGAGUAAAUGACAUUAGAGCCAUGAGGAAGAUAAAGAGAGAGAGAGAACUUUAAGGACAAAAUGCUGAGCAUAACAAGGCAAACACUGGACAAUGCAAGAUGCAAAAGAAUAAGAAAAAAGUUGUCUCUUGAACAUUCUGGGAAGCUGCAUUUCUUUUAUUAAAGUAAGAUGUCAGUCAACUCCAUGAGAGGACUGAAGUCAUCAAGAUGAACACUACAAUACUUCGAUCCUUAGCAGAUUCUGUU